rnacentral:rRNA from 1 species
AUUGAACGCUGGCGGCAGGCCUAACACAUGCAAGUCGAGCGGAUGAAGGGAGCUUGCUCCUGGAUUCAGCGGCGGACGGGUGAGUAAUGCCUAGGAAUCUGCCUGGUAGUGGGGGAUAACGUCCGGAAACGGGCGCUAAUACCGCAUACGUCCUGAGGGAGAAAGUGGGGGAUCUUCGGACCUCACGCUAUCAGAUGAGCCUAGGUCGGAUUAGCUAGUUGGUGGGGUAAAGGCCUACCAAGGCGACGAUCCGUAACUGGUCUGAGAGGAUGGUCAGUCACACUGGAACUGCGACACGGUCCUGACUCCUAAGGGAGGCAGCAGUAGGGAAUCUUGGACCAUGGGCGAAAGCCUGCUCCAGCCAUGCCGCGUGUGUGAAGAAGGUCUUCGGAUUGUAAAGAACUUUAAGUUGGGAGGAAGGGCAGUAAGUUAAUACCUUGCUGUUUUGACGUUACCAACAGAAUAAGCACCGGCUAACUUCGUG